rnacentral:rRNA from 1 species
GACGAACGCUGGCGGCGUGCCUAAUACAUGCAAGUCGAGCGCAGGAAGCUGACGGAACUCUUCGGAGAGAAGGCAGUGGAAUGAGCGGCGGACGGGUGAGUAACACGUAAGGAACCUGCCUCAAGGAUUGGGAUAACUCCGAGAAAUCGGAGCUAAUACCGGAUAGUUCAACGGACCGCAUGGUCCGCUGAUGAAAGGCGCUUCGGCGUCACCUUGAGAUGGCCUUGCGGUGCAUUAGCUAGUUGGUGGGGUAACGGCCCACCAGGGCGACGAUGCAUAGGCGACCUGAGAGGGUGAUCGGCCACACUGGGACUGAGACACGGCCCAGACUCCUACGGGAGGCAGCAGUAGGGAAUCUUCCACAAUGGACGAAAGUCUGAUGGAGCAACGCCGCGUGAGUGAUGAAGGUUUUCGGAUCGUAAAACUCUGUUGUAAGGGAAGAACACGUACGAGAGGGAAUGCUCGUACCUUGACGGUACCUUACGAGAAAGCCACGGCUAACUACGUGCCAGCCGCCGCCGUAA